rnacentral:rRNA from 1 species
AAAAGCUUUCUUUAAUUGAAUAAUUGAAUUUAAUUUUUUAGUGCAAAAGCAAAAAUAAAAAUUAGGGACAAGAAGACCCUAUGAAUUUUUUAUUAAAUUUUAUUAAACUUUAUAUAAAAUUUAAUUUAAUUGGGGUGAUGGAAAAAGAAUAAAUAUCUUUUUUUUAAAAGAAAAUUGGUUCCGUUUUUAGCGAUUAAAUGAAAAAAAUACUCUAGGGAUAACAGCGUAAUAAUUUUGGAUAGUUCAUAUAGAUAAAAUAGUUUGCGACCUCGAUGUUGGAUUAGGAUUCUUUUUUGGUGAAGAAGUUAAAAAAAGAAGUUUGUUCAACUUAUAAUUUCCUACUUGAUCUGAGUUCAGACCGG